GACACUAAAAAAUUUCAUCAACAUUAUUUUUUGUAAUUUUUGUAAUGCUAGAUAUAAUUUCUGGAAUAACAUCUCAGAAAUUACUUAAUAUUCUGACAUUUGUCACUAAUUAUGUCUAAUUUUAAAAAUACAUUUUCAACAUUCUGACUUUUUAUUUAAAAAAAAUACUAUUUCUUUAAAAGCUUAAAAAAUUUUGUGCUCAUCUACAGCUACAGAUUUUGGCCUUUUUGGACCUCACUUUUGAACUUGUGAAUGAAUCGUUGCAAAUAUCUUGAUUCAGAUUCCAAAAACUUGUAAAAAGAGUAAAGUGUGAAAAUUGUUAUUUCACAAUAUUAAAGAGCCCAUAUUAUGCUUUUUGGGAUUUUCCUUGCCUUUAAUGUGUUAUGUAGCUGCUUUUUUUUGCAUGUAAAAGGGUCUGCAAACUCACAAAGUCCACACCAAAGGGAGAAAUUUUCCUUACCUGCCUGAAAAGCCUCAUUUGAAGUCCAGGCUUUUCUUCCGUUACUUAUCGACAUCAUCAUGUAACACAUUUACAUAACUCCUGUCUGGCAGCUCGGUUGGACACUCCCACUAACAAAGAAGGAACUGCAGCUUUGUAGUUUAACUUUAUUUCCUCACUAGAGCUGCUUCUGGUGGAGCUAUAUCCAUACACUUGCUUUCAUCGGGGCUGCUGACCAAUCAGGGGAGGAUGGACUUAUUUAAAGAGACAGGAGCGUUUCAGACAGAGGUGCUGCAGGAAUGUGCAGUAUUAAAAAAAAAUGUGUUUUUUGGACAUUAAAGCGUGUAAACAUAUUGUGUUAGUCUCCAAAAGUGAAAUCCUGAACCUGUAAAUGUGCAUCAUGCAGCCUCUUUAAUGUCUAAGUGUGUAUAAUAGUGCUUGUAUGUGGAGAGGUCUGGUGGAAUAAGAGCGACGUUUAGUCUUUAAAAUUUAAAACGCACACUUUGACGACUUGUAUUGAUCCACACUGAGUUGUGUUUUGUUUCUGUUUUCUGAUCCUGUGAGGAAAUGUGACAGAACGUCGAAGCGGUGAAAGGCGGCGCGCAUUAUGAAGCGUCCUCGCUCUGUCGCCACGCUUUGUGCAAGGACAGUGUCGUGAUGGAGGAGGCUGGUUCUUAGGAUCACCAAGAGGCGGCAGGCUGCUCACAGGACACCACAAAUGGACACGAGGAGUUCGUACGGUCAAACUCAGGGACGAACAGAGGCUUCAACCAGGACGACUGAUGGGUUCCUGCUGGACAAUGUGUUUGCUUGUUGUGGCCCAUAGAUGGUGGUGUUUUGCAGAGAUACACAACUGUGACAUGAACACAAACUGAAACAGAUGUUCCCACAUCAGAGCUUUGAUCACAUCAAACCCAAUCUGAGACUGUGGAUAAACAGCACAGUCAGUGAAGUGGACAGUAUGAAUAAGUACCUUAUACGCUACCGUUCAAAAGUUUCAUGACAAUUUCAUGUUUUCCAUGAAAACUCACACUUUCAUUCAUGUGCUAACAUAACUGCACAAGGGUUUUCUAAUCAUCAAUUAGCCUUUCAACACCAUUAGCUAACACAAUGUAGCAUUAGAACACAGGAGUGAUGGUUGCUGGAAAUGUUCCUCUGUACCCCUAUGGAGAUAUUCCAUUAAAAAUCAGCUGUUUCCAGCUAGAAUAGUCAUUUACCACAUUAACAAUGUAUAGACUGGAUUUAUCAUUCAUUUAAUGUUAUCUUCAUUGAAAAAAAAAAGCUUUUCUUUCAAAAAUAAGGCCAUUUCUAAGUGACCCCAAAUAUUUGAACAGUUGUGUAUGUGGAACAUUUAGACAACAGAUGAUUAGCCAAAGUGGUUUCCAAUACAGAAAUAACUUUUAUCUGACAAGUUUAAAUAUUAAAGUAAACCCUCUGAGCUCA